rnacentral:rRNA from 2 species
UGGGGGAUAUUGCGCAAUGGGGGCAACCCUGACGCAGCAACGCCGCGUGAAGGAUGAAGGUUUUCGGAUUGUAAACUUCUUUUAUUAAGGACGAAAAAUGACGGUACUUAAUGAAUAAGCUCCGGCUAACUACGUGCCAGCAGCCGCGGUAAUACGUAGGGAGCAAGCGUUGUCCGGAUUUACUGGGUGUAAAGGGUGCGUAGGCGGCUUUGCAAGUCAGAUGUGAAAUCUAUGGGCUCAACCCAUAAACUGCAUUUGAAACUGUAGAGCUUGAGUGAAGUAGAGGCAGGCGGAAUUCCCCGUGUAGCGGUGAAAUGCGUAGAGAUGGGGAGGAACACCAGUGGCGAAGGCGGCCUGCUGGGCUUUAACUGACGCUGAGGCACGAAAGCGUGGGUAGCAAACAGGAUUAGAUACCCUGGUAGUCCACGCUGUAAACGAUGAUUACUAGGUGUGGGGGGUCUGACCCCUUCCGUGCCGGAGUUAACACAAUAAGUAAUCCACCUGGGGAGUACGGCCGCAAGGUUGAAACUCAAAGGAAUUGACGGGGGCCCGCACAAGCAGUGGAGUAUGUGGUUUAAUUCGAAGCAACGCGAAGAACCUUACCAGGUCUUGACAUCCAACUAACGAAGUAGAGAUACAUUAGGUGCCCUUCGGGGAAAGUUGAGACAGGUGGUGCAUGGUUGUCGUCAGCUCGUGUCGUGAGAUGUUGGGUUAAGUCCCGCAACGAGCGCAACCCUUGCUAUUAGUUGCUACGCAAGAGCACUCUAAUAGGACUGCCGUUGACAAAACGGAGGAAGGUGGGGACGACGUCAAAUCAUCAUGCCCCUUAUGACCUGGGCUACACACGUACUACAAUGGAUGUUAACAGAGGGAAGCAAGACAGCGAUGUGGAGCAAACCCCUAAAAACAUUCUCAGUUCAGAUUGCAGGCUGCAACCCGCCUGCAUGAAGAUGGAAUUGCUAGUAAUCGCGGAUCAGCAUGCCGCGGUGAAUACGUUCCC